rnacentral:rRNA from 1 species
GGAGGGUGAGUAUGCGUAGGAGCUGCCCGAUAGAGGGGGAUACCAGUUGGAAACGACUGUUAAUACCGCAUAAUGUCUACGGACCAAAGUGUGGGACCUUCGGGCCACAUGCUAUCGGAUGCGCCUACGUGGGAUUAGCUAGUUGGUGAGGUAAUGGCUCACCAAGGCGACGAUCUCUAGCUGGUUUGAGAGGAUGAUCAGCCACACUGGAACUGAGACACGGUCCAGACUCCUACGGGAGGCAGCAGUGGGGAAUAUUGGACAAUGGGCGCAAGCCUGAUCCAGCCAUGCCGCGUGUGUGAAGAAGGCCUUCGGGUUGUAAAGCACUUUCAGCGAGGAGGAAGGGUGGUGUGUUAAUAGCACAUCAUUUUGACGUUACUCGCAGAAGAAGCACCGGCUAACUCUGUGCCAGCCGCCG